AAAAUAAUCCUACCCUUUGUGAAUUUUGUUUGUUUGAAUAAUUUUUUUUUUUAAAAAAUUAUUGGAGUCUUUCCCUUUAGAGUUUGCUUUUGAGUUUGUAAAAGAAUUCGAAAACAUCUAAAGGGGAUGGUCAAUAAUUUUUUUGAAAAAAGACAUUUUUUAAAAUUAAACUUUUUGUAUUCAUUUGUCUAAAAAUUAUUUUUAUAAUAUAAAAACAACUUUUGACAAUGGAUCUCUUGGUUCUCGCAACGAUGAAGAACGCAGCAAAAUGCGAUAAGUAGUGUGAUUGCAGAAUACGUGAAUCAUCGAAUCUUUGAACGCAUAUUGCACUUUUUUAGUUUACUAAAAAAGUAUGUCUGUUUGAGUAUCAGUAAAAUAUUCCAUAAAAAUCAUUGUGUAUUUUUAUGGUUAUGAGUGUUUUACAACGAUACAAGUUGUUUCACUUUAAAUUUUUUUUUAAUAUUGAAAUUUUUCUAAUUUUAAUAAUUAAAGUUGGAUAAAAUUUUCCCGUCAAAAGGAAUAACCUAAACAAUUUUAAAUGAUUAAUUUUAGCAAAAUUUUCGUAAAAAAGGAAAAUUUUUAUUAAAAUAACUUGAUCUCAAAUCAGAUAAGAGUACCCGCUGAACUUAAGCAUAUCAAUAAGCGGAGGAAAAGAAACUAACAAGGAUUCCCUUAGUAACGGCGAGUGAAGCGGGAAGAGCUCAAAUUUGAAAUCUUCAAGGUUUUACCUUGACGAAUUGUAGUUUAAAGAAGUGUUUUCUGCUGAAGUUUUGGUAAAAGUUCUUUGGAAUAGGACAUCAUAGAGGGUGAGAAUCCCGUAUUUGACCAUUAUUUUCAGCUUUGUGAUACACUUUCAGAGAGUCGGAUUGUUUGGGAAUGCAGUCCAAAAUGGGUGGUAAAUUUCAUCUAAAGCUAAUAUUGGCGAGAGACCGAUAGCGAACAAGUACCGUGAGGGAAAGAUGAAAAGAACUUCGAAAAGAGAGUUAAACAGUACGUGAAAUUGUCAAAAGGGAAGCGUUUGACACCAGUGUUGUUUCUCGAAAAUCAAUUAAAAAUGGCUCGAUUUUGUAUUGCUGAGACCUUAAAAGCUCACUGUACAUUUUUCGUGUCUUUUUUAAUGCACUUUUCGUUUAACAAGUCAACAUCAGUUUCUUUUGUUGUAAAAGGGUCAUUGGAAGGUGGCUUUCUUUUCGGAGAAAGUGUUUAUAGCCUUUGGCCUCUGCAAUCGAAGAGACUGAGGUCUGCAGCGUAGACUCUUCGGGGUUAGAUACAUUUGUGCUAAGUUAUAGCUUUUUAUAGACAACUUGUUGACUAUAAUUAGUCUUGUAGCUUACUCGCUUAUGCUAUUUUACCUACGCUUAGGAUG
rnacentral:misc_RNA from 1 species